UGGCUGGGGAGGCGUUCUAACCGGUUUUCUGGGGGUGGGAGUGGCCUAGGACACGACGCUGGGUCCACCCUGGACCCCUACUGUCUGUCUUUUGCUGUUGGGUCAAUGGCUUUCCAGAUGCUUCCCUCGUUAGAAGACCCAUACCCCACCUUGACCUCCCAGGACCGCAGGCUGGGAAAUCAGAGCCCAGAGGCACCGCCCACCAGAGAAAGCACCUACAAGGACCACAGACCUCAGGGACAGGGACAGACCCCAGCCUUUCCACUAUCUCGGGCAAGACACCACACGUGAGAGGAAUGUCGCCUCAGACCACCCGGCCUAGCCCAGCCGCCGGCUGAGACCCUGGGUGACGCCAGUCUGAGUAACAGGAAGCAAAAGAACUGUCCUGCUGAGUCCUGUCCAAACUCCCGACCCACAGAAUCAUCAGAAAGAGUAAAAGAGCGCUUGUCUUGA